GAAGAAUGGGCCACAACCCGUUCCAGCCUAAAGGCACCUCCUCCAAGGUCAGCCCGAGGGGCUUACAGGGAACACCCCUAUGGUAGAUAUUGAAGGUCCUCCUCAGCUGUGACCUCAUCUCAAAGACAAUUAAUAGCCUGUGGUCUCCGCAUAAACAGCAACAAGACAAGGCUCUGGACAGCUAAGCAGCCGAUCUGCUGAGAAGUGCUCAGAAUUUUGGAGCUCUUAGGGAAGUACUGUACCUUUUGAAUGGUACUCAAGGGACUGAAUGUGAUCAGCAUCAUUUGAAAUAAAUCAGUGGGAUCUGAAACACUGAGCCUUGGACUGGGAGUCUCCCAAAGCCCAGCACUGUGAAUUAUGAACCCCCUUUAGCACCCUCUCCAGCAUUUGUUGGCACUUAGACUCGCAGCAAUCUUCCAGCCUAUCAGAUCUUAUGUAUCCCAGAAGGUGCACCCAUAAUCAAGUCUUUAUUGGGGACUUCUUGACAAGACCAGCUCCAGCCACUGUUCCUGGCCUCAUACAAGAUGUUCUAGAAAGGAUUUCCUUCAGCCCCACAGCAGGACAAGGAACCAAGUGCUCCAGAGAACCAAGUGAAUUGUUACCUGUCACAGCAUCCCAAUGUUCAUCUCUUAAUACUUGUGGGUGUGAUACAAACCACCUAAAAGAGAUUAACUGUGUCUUUCACUUCCAAGACUAGACUGUUUCCUGUGUUCCAUCAGUGCAGUUCUGCUGCUGCACAUUUUGGUUUGGUUAGCAGGCCUUUAAUCAA